rnacentral:rRNA from 1 species
UACGUAGGGCGCAAGCGUUGUCCGGAAUUAUUGGGCGUAAAGAGCUCGUAGGUGGCUUGUCACGUCGGGUGUGAAAGCUUGGGGCUUAACUCCAGGUCUGCAUUCGAUACGGGCUGGCUAGAGGUAGGUAGGGGAGAACGGAAUUCCUGGUGUAGCGGUGAAAUGCGCAGAUAUCGGGAGGAACACCGGUGGCGAAGGCGGUUCUCUGGGCCUUACCUGACGCUGAGGAGCGAAAGCGUGGGGAGCGAACAGG